UUCAUUUAUUUAUACAAGCACUGGGUACAGUCAGAAGCACAGGAGGGCGAGAGAAUUCACCAGAGCCAGAGCGGGGAGCAGAGCCGGCAGAAGGACCGAAGUACAAUGCUGGGAGGAGUAGCGGGUGGCAGGGAGAUAAGGAAUCCAAAAUGAUCAGUUGGCUGUCUCACUUUCCAAUAUAAUGGAACCAUUGUUGCAUCUCCUAAAGAAAGCAUUCUCCUUGGGAACUAAGGUCUUCAAACCAGCAGCAAAGUUUUCAGGAAGUGGCCUCCCUGGUGGUGCAAGGGGUUGGGCACUGCACUGUGAAGCAAUCCGCAGCCUCUGCAGCAUGAGUUCGGGGAGAUACCCACAUGGCACAGCAGACCUCUCCUGGCUUACCCGCUGCUCCCCUCAGCAUCGCGCCUCGGUCCAUCUGCCUGUUCUGUUCCCCACUCUGUCUCUCAUGAAUCCUCUCACUCCCUGGAUCUCUAGCCUGUACCCCAUUUCUUG